GACGAACGCUGGCGGCGUGCUUAACACAUGCAAGUCGAACGGCAAGGCCCUGCUUUUGUGGGGUGCUCGAGUGGCGAACGGGUGAGUAACACGUGAGUAACCUGCCCUUGACUUUGGGAUAACUUCAGGAAACUGGGGCUAAUCCCGGAUAGGAGCUCCUGCUGCAUGGUGGGGGUUGGAAAGUUUCGGCGGGUGGGGAUGGACUCGCGGCUUAUCAGCUUGUUGGUGGGGUAGUGGCUUACCCAGGCUUUGACGGGUCGCCGGCCUGAGAGGGUGACCGGCCACAUUGGGACUGAGAGACGGCCCAGUCUCGUACGGGAGGCAGCAGUGGGGAAUAUUGCACAAUGGGCGGAAGCCGGAUGCAGCAACGCCGCGUGCGGGAUGACGGCCUUCGGGUUGUAAACCGCUUUCGCCUGUGACGAAGCGUGAGUGACGGUAAUGGGUAAAGAAGCACCGGCUAACUACGUG
rnacentral:rRNA from 1 species